rnacentral:rRNA from 1 species
GUAGGUGGCAAGCGUUGUCCGGAAUUAUUGGGCGUAAAGCGCGCGCAGGUGGGUUCUUUAAGUCUGAUGUGAAAGCCCCCGGGCUCAACCGGGGAGGGUCAUUGGAAACUGGGGAACUUGAGUGCAGGAGAGGAAAGUGGAAUUCCACGUGUAGCGGUGAAAUGCGUAGAUAUGUGGAGGAACACCAGUGGCGAAGGCGACUUUCUGGCCUGUAACUGACACUGAGGCGCGAAAGCGUGGGGAGCAAACAGGAUUAGAUACCCUGGUAGUCCACGCCGUAAACGAUGAGUGCUAAGUGUUGGGGGGUUUCCGCCCCUCAGUGCGGCAGCUAACGCAUUAAGCACUCCGCCUGGGGAGUACGGUCGCAAAGACUG